rnacentral:sRNA from 1 species
GCCGGGCGUGGUGGCGGGCGCCUGUAGUCCCAGCUACUCGGGAGGCUGAGGCAGGAGAAUGGCAUGAACCCAGGAGGUGGAGCUUGCAGUGAGCUGAGAUUGUGCCACUGCACUCCAGCCUGGGUGACAGAGCCAGACUCCGUCUCAA